rnacentral:snoRNA from 10 species
AAGACUAUACUUUCAGGAAUUGUUUCUGUAGUACAUUACUACAGAAUGUUCUCUGAUGUGUAGAGCACAGAAAAUACAAAUAUAAUAAAUUCCAAAUCAGCUAUCUGAGUCCUGGGUGGCUCCCUCACCAUGAUCAAAUCAGCUGUG